GCCAGACUCCUACGGGAGGCAGCAGUGGGGGAUAUUGCACAAUGGGGGAAACCCUGAUGCAGCGACGCCGCGUGGGUGAGGAAGCGCCUCGGCGCGUAAAGCCCUGUCAGCAGGGAAGAAAAUGACGGUACCUGAAGAAGAAGCUCCGGCUAACUACGUGCCAGCAGCCGCGGUAAUACGUAGGGAGCGAGCGUUGUCCGGAAUUACUGGGUGUAAAGGGAGCGUAGGCGGGCGAGAAAGUUGAAUGUUAAAUCUACCGGCUUAACUGGUAGCUGCGUUCAAAACUUCUUGUCUUGAGUGAAGUAGAGGCAGGCGGAAUUCCUAGUGUAGCGGUGAAAUGCGUAGAUAUUAGGCGGAACACCAGUGGCGAAGGCGGCCUGCUGGGCUUUAACUGACGCUGAGGCUCGAAAGCGUGGGGAGCAAACAGGAUUAGAUACCCCAGUA
rnacentral:rRNA from 1 species